GUCUCGGCAGCGGUGGCCGUAGCUCCAUCGCAUUUUAUGUUUCUGGCGAGAAGGGAACGGAGUUUUCAUCAGGUAGAUUGGUUUUUGUGCGGCCGUCCUCCACCGUUUCCUCCAGGACAGCACCUAGUCGUGGCCGGAGGAGUCUCAGAGCUGUCAGAAAGAAUAAGACUGAUUUUAUGGGAAAAUUAAGCAGAUGCUCCAGUUUGAGAAACCUGGAUCUGCGAUCUGUUUGUGAGUGGUAUUCAGUUAAGAGAACAAUUAUUUCGUAUAAGCCACAUCAGAGACGACUGAAGAUGAAAAAACUACCAUCCCCGUAUAUAACUAAUUUGUGCUGUGCACCAACAAGAACCUGCUUUAAAUUUCCAUGGCAAUUUACAACCCCCAUACUGUACCAGGCAAGGUACCAGCAUCAAGAUGAUUUAUGGUAAUAAGAUAUAAAACCAAGGAAAAUAACCUAAAGUCUGAAAAAGACCAGAAUCGAAGUUUCCUGAUUCAUAUUUUAAUGUUUUGAAAUUUAUACUCCAGGCUGGGUGCAGUGGCUUGUGCCUGUAAUCCCAGCACUUUGGGAGGCCGAGGCGGCCGGAUUGCCUGAAGUCAGAAGUUCGAGACCAGCCUGACCAACAUGGUGAAACCCUGUCUCUACUUAAAAAUACAAAAGAGCUGGGCAUGGAGGUGGUGCGCGCCUGUAACCCUAGCUACUCGGGAGGCUGAGGCCUAAGAAUCUCUUGAACCCAGGAGGCAGAGGUUGUAGUGAGCCGGGAUCACGCCACUGCACUCUAGCCUGGGCGACAGAGAGAGAGACUGUCUAAAAAAGGAAAAGAAAAAAAUUUAUACGCCAAAAAAGAUAUUCUGAGAUAACCUGUAGUUACCACUAACUUUGUGACAAAAUUAUAAAAAUCCACAGCCAUCUAUGAAUCUGUAGGCAGACCUGAAGUUUGAACGACUGGUGAAGACAUCUGAUUUUCUUUAUAGCCAAGUUAGGAUAACAAAAUGCAAACAAGUCAUUAAUAUUUACUAUAUGCAAGAUACAGAAAGAUGAAGGAAGGAGUAAGAAGUUAUCCUUCGUGGAACUAUUCAAAGCAAAAAUGCAAAAUACCAGGGAAAGCUUUGAAGAACCAAGAUUUGAGCAGGUUCUUAGAAUAUAGAUUGGAUUGGAUUUGAUUUCAAGAAAGAUGAACGUGUAAAGCAGAAGUGGGAAGCCAAAAACUUUUUUCCAAAUUAGAAUUAAGCAUUCUUUCAAUGAACAUUUGGAAAUCAAGGUAGAAAAAUAUCCCUAGGGCCUAGCUGAGGAGUCUGUAUGUUGUUGGGUUUUGAUAGUAACCAGUCCAAGAUUUUGUUAUUAGACGUGGGUUUCUGAAUAGACAGGCAUUUCUGAACAGACAUGACAGGAUCAAAACAAUGUUUGAGCAAACUGCCCUUCAUCUACUGUGGAUAUGUUGGGGGAUGAUGGAAUAUAGUGAAAGAUAAUGGGUGCUCAUACAGCAGUCUAGACUUAAGGUGAUUCAACUACUAUAUAUUAAACUAGAUUAUCUUUUAUUUUUUAAUUUUGAAAUCUGGAUGCUCAAGCUCUGCCUGCACAACCACAUGAGGAAGAAGGAACAAUGACAACAAAAAUAACACUAAAUUUAAAUUUAAGAGUACUACUUUUAGGAAAUAGACAAACCAUUAUUUGGGUACAACUAAAGGCAACUGGCAUGGACUCAAAUAUUUUGGGGAAGAAAAAGACUAAAAGUUCUAAGGAAGAAAAUGCGAACCUUGAUAGUUUGAAAUAGUUAAAAAGACAGUGUAGAAACUGCUUAGGCAGUUUGAUUAUGGACUAUUAGAUGAUACUUGGGUCUGAUAAUGGUAUAAGGAGAAUAAAGUAUUUAGGGAUCCAAUAUUACGCCUGCAGCUUUUUCCAAAUAGUUCAUGGGGGAGGGGGAUGUGUAAGUGGUUAACUGAAGUCUAACUAGAUAGGUUUGUUGUAAGCUUAGGAUGUUUACAGUUCUUCAUGUUAAGUUGAGCGUGAUGGGAAGGGAAAGAAUGCUGAUCUUUAAAUUUUUGUCCUUAGUUAAGUUCUGUAUUUAGUGAAUUAAUUGCAUCCUAAAAAGUCAAACUUGAAAAGCACAUUUUAAAUGGCAAAUCUAUUUUUUACAUGUUUGUGAAGUUUUUAUUUUUUAGUAAACAGACCAUCAGAAGAGAACAAUGGUACAGAGCAGGGGUCAGCAGAUGGAUUUUGUAAAGCAUCAACUUGUAAAUAUUUUCAAGUUUAUUAGCUGUAUGGCUCUGGUUUCUGUUCCCUGUUCCAAAUGUUAAAGUCUACUGUUGUAUUCUAAAAGCAGCCAUGGACUGAAUGUAGCUGUGUUCCAAUAAAACUUACACAAAAGCAGGCAGUGGGCCAUAAUUUGCAACACCUGAUUCACAGCAUAAUUUUGUCACAAACUGAAAGUGUUCCUCAAUUAAAGUGAUUUUUUUUUCUUGA
rnacentral:lncRNA from 1 species